rnacentral:rRNA from 1 species
UACGUAGGGUGCAAGCGUUGUCCGGAAUUAUUGGGCGUAAAGAGCUCGUAGGCGGUCUGUCGCGUCGGCUGUGAAAACCCGAGGCUCAACCUCGGGCCUGCAGUCGAUACGGGCAAACUAGAGUACUGCAGGGGAGACUGGAAUUCCUGGUGUAGCGGUGAAAUGCGUAGAUAUCUGGAGGAACACCGGUGGCGAAGGCGGCAUCCUGGACCGGUAUUGACGCUGAGGCGCGAAAGCCAGGGGAGCAAACAGG